GACGAACGCUGGCGGCGUGCCAACACCUUGAAGAAGGCUGAGUGGUAAUUUCAAAUCUAGUGGCGAACGGGUGAGUAACGCGUAGACAACCUACCUCUUAGAUGGGGACAACAUCGCGAAAGCGGUGCUAAUACCGAAUGAAGUGACUUUCCUGCAUAGGAGAGAUACUAAAGGUGGCCUCUGUUUAUAAGCUACCACUGAGAGAUGGGUCUGCGUCUGAUUAGCUAGUUGGCGGGGUAACGGCCCACCAAGGCGACGAUCAGUAGCCGGUCUGAGAGGAUGAACGGCCACAUUGGGACUGAGACACGGCCCAAACUCCUACGGGAGGCAGCAGUGGGGAAUCUUCCGCAAUGGACGAAAGUCUGACGGAGCAACGCCGCGUGAGUGAAGAAGGUUUUCGGAUCGUAAAGCUCUGUUGUUUGAGACGAAUGUGCCUGUUUCGAAUAGGGAUAGGUAAUGACGGUAUUAAACGAGAAAGCCACGGCUAACUACGUGCCAGCAGCCGCAGUAA
rnacentral:rRNA from 1 species